GAUGAAGAACGUAGCGAAAUGCGAUACUUGGUGUGAAUUGCAGAAUCCCGUGAACCAUCGAGUCUUUGAACGCAAGUUGCGCCCGAAGCCAUCAGGUUGAGGGCACGUCUGCCUGGGCGUCACAUAUCGUUGCCCAAUGCCUAUUGCAGUGCAAUAGGAAUUUCUAGGGCGAAUGAUGGCUUCCCGUGAGCGUUGUUGCCUCGCGGUUGGUUGAAAAUCGAGUCCUUGGUAGGGUGUGCCAUGGUAGAUGGUGGUCGAGUUAGAACGAUACCGAUCAUGUGCAUACUCCCCAAAAUAUGGCCUCUAUGACCCACACGCGUCUUUUGACGCUCAUGACGAGACCUCAGGUCAGGCGGGGCUACCCGCUGAAUUUAAGCAUAUCAAUAAGCGGAGGA
rnacentral:misc_RNA from 1 species